AUGAAACAUCUCAGCUGGAACUGCCGGGGGCUUGGGAACCCCGAGGCAGUUCGCGAGCUUCGGAAGAUUACGAAGCAGGAAGGUCCCAGCCUAAUCUUUGUGAUGGAAACGAAGAUUAGAGCAAAGAGAGUUGAAAUUCUGAAGCAUACACUCAGGUUUUCGGGCUGUUUUGCUGUUGACAGCGCGGGGCUUAGUGGAGGCCUUGGUUUGUUCUGGUCAAGUGAUAUUUCGGUUGAUCUAAAGAGUUAUAGUUCCGGCCACAUCGAUGUGGUGGCGCGGAAAGUUGGUUCUCCCUUGUACGAAUGGAGAUUCACGGGGUUCUACGGAGCUUCGAGGAGUGAGGAUCGGCAUCACAGUUGGACUUGUUUGAGAAGGCUACAUGCAAUACCGCAUCAAGCAUGGCCAUGUCUUGGUGACUUCAACGAAACGAUGCAUGCCACAGAACACUUCAGCCGAGCGCAGAGGGCGGAGUGGCAGAUGCACGCGUUUCAGGACGUUUUAGAUGAUUGCUCCCUGCAGGACUUUGGUUUUUCAGGGGUGCCAUACACUUGGGAUAAUGGUUAG
rnacentral:rRNA from 1 species